rnacentral:SRP_RNA from 1 species
GCCGGGCGCCAUGGCACAUGCCUGUAGUCCCAGCUACUAGGGAGGCUGAGGCUGGAGGAUCACUUGAGUGCAGGAGUUCUGGGCUUUAGUGCGCUAUGCCGAUCGGGUGUCCACACUAAGUUCGGCAUCAAUAUGGUGACCUCCCAGGAGCAGGGGACCACCAGGUUGCCUAAGUAGAAGUGAACCGGCCCGGAUCCGAAACAGAGCCAGUCAAAACUCCUAUGCUGAUCAGUAGUGGGAUCUUGCCUAUGAAUAGCCACUGCACUCCAGCCUGGGCAACAUAGAGAGAUCCCGUCUCU